CCUACGGGUGGCAGCAGUGGGGAAUAUUGGUCAAUGGGCGUAAGCCUGAACCAGCCAAGUCGCGUGAGUGAUGAAGGUUCUAUGGAUCGUAAACAUCUUUUAUAAGGGAAUAAAGUGUGGGACGUGUCCUAUUUUGUAUGUACCUUAUGAAUAAGGAUCGGCUAACUCCGUGCCAGCAGCCGCGGUAAUACGGAGGAUCCGAGCGUUAUCCGGAUUUGUUGGGUUUAGAGGGUGCGUAGGCGGUUUGUUAAGUCAGCGGUGAAAGUCUGUGGCUCAACCAUAGAAUUGCCGUUGAAACUGGGAGGCUUGAGUAUGGUAGAGGUGGGCGGAAUGCGUGGUGUAGCGGUGAAAUGCUUAGAGAUCAGGAAGAACCCCGAUUGCGAAGGCAGCCUGCCAAGCCAUGACUGACGCUGAUGCACGAAAGCGUGGGGAUCAAACAGGAUUAGAUACCCGGGUAGUC
rnacentral:rRNA from 1 species